rnacentral:rRNA from 1 species
GACGAACGCUGGCGGCGUGCUUAACACAUGCAAGUCGAGCGGUAAGGCCCUUUCGGGGGUACACGAGCGGCGAACGGGUGAGUAACACGUGGGUGACCUGCCCUCAGCUCUGGGAUAAGCCUGGGAAACCGGGUCUAAUACUGGAUAUGACUCCAUGACGCAUGUUGGUGGGGUGGAAAGCCUUGUGCGGCUGAGGAUGGGCCCGCGGCCUAUCAGCUUGUUGGGUGGGGUGANGGCCUACCAAGGCGACGACGGGUAGCCGGCCUGAGAGGGCGACCGGCCACACUGGGACUGAGACACGGCCCAGACUCCUACGGGAGGCAGCAGGUGGGGAAUCUUGCGCAAUGGGCGAAAGCCUGACGCAGCGACGCCGCGUGAGGGAUGACGGCCU